GUGAAGCGCCUGGUGACAAGGAUGACACUAAGGAAAAUGACAGACAUACAGGCCAUAGGCACUCUGAUCCCAGAUAUAACAGCCACCAGGGGUCAAAUCUUGGCAAUAAAGAAGUUCCUGACAAAAGCUCAGUGAUCUCAGACCCUAACAGGAAAAACUCAGCUUCUAUUACAUUCAAACCAGCAAUUAUGGCGACCAUUGGUGUUUUGAUUGUUGCAUGUAGCAGGUGAUGGGUGAAGAGCACUGAAGGUUAAGACUACAUGAUUUGAGUGUGUUUGGAUCUUCGGUCAAAUUAUCAUUUUUAAACAACAAAAGCUACAAUCAUAAAAUGAUUGCCCUUGCAAACACCAUAAGAAACAAAUUACAGUGGAAAUAUCUGCAAUAAGAGUUGGAAGUUUGUUCUUAAUGGGGAAAAAAGUUAAUAUGGUGACUUACUCACAAUUAAACAACGCAAAUAAACAUUCCAAAAACUUUGACCAAUAAUGAACAAACGAACGGAACAAAACUUCAACAGGUACCUGAAUGAUAGUAGCCUACUGAUAAUGAAAUAAUGUAUGUGAAUGUAAUUAUGGACAUAAUUUAUGUACUUUGUACCAUUAAAAAAGUUGAUUCUUGUUGAUAUGAUUAGAUAUCUUUUAUAGAUUUAUAAACUAUGUGAACUAGAUUAUAAUUUAUAAUUAUAAUAUUAAGAAUCCAGAGCUAUAAAUUCUUAGCAGAUAUUUUUUUAUGUUUAUGUUUAAAACAGAUUCAUGAAAAGUUUUCUUUUGAAUGGAGAGCUGAAUCAGAAAAUUCUUGACAUAUCUUUUUUCACUAGACUUAUCGGUUUGUACUAUAAUUGAUAUAUAUAUAUAACAAGGAUAAACUUUAUUAUAAGAAGCUUCUAAUAAUAAAUAUUAUACAGUAAAAAAAAAACAACAACAUUAAUGGUGUUUGGCUGAAAAAAAACCCACAAAUUUAUCAAAAAAUGAAAUCUCAGUAUCCCAAUCACAGAUAGACUGUAUUAAUGAAAAAGGAAAAAAAAAGAUAGCUGUUGUAAUGAAUGCUAGGCUACUUAAUAAGCUCAAACCAGAACAUAUUUUCUCUCAAUGUUGUUGGCUGUUUCACACACACACACACAUACAAAUCAAAAUCAAGUUUUAGUUCCUUCUGCUGUUAUGAAAACUGAUUAAAAAAUACUUCUUUUUUAGAGCAAAAGAAAAGAGGUGCCUGCUGUUAAAUAUUGUGGUCUGGCCCCCCCUCCCCCCACCCAAAAAAAAAAAA
rnacentral:sRNA from 1 species